rnacentral:lncRNA from 1 species
CGCAAUGCGGUGCAGCCGGAUCCUGCUUCGGCCCCAGACCACCGGCUCAGGCCGACUUAGGCGGCUCAGUGUCCGGGUUUCCCCGGGGACCCCCUAACCAGGACAGGGCCUGACCCCGUCUCCCGGCCCAAUCGGCCCGCGCCGACCUGCGCCUGGUGCUCGGGCCCGGCUCCGACUCUGGCUGCCUCCCGCUUCACCCGGACCCGCACCCGCGAGCCGGUCCCGCCGCCUCCAUCCCGCCGGCCUUCCCAGCAGCCCCCGCGCCGCCUUAAAGGUGAAGCCGCUACCUCGGUGGCGUCGGAGGGGGCGAAACACGCUUCUCUUGGCCCGUUCGCUGCCUUAAAGGAGCGCGGGCCGGGCCGGCUCCAGCGGGAGGGGGACGGGGCGGGGCCAUCGAGGCGGGGGCGGUGCGAGGACCCGCCCGGGGCGCAGUUCCCAGGGCCCGCCAGCCCCGAGGGGUGCCCUCGGCCGCAAAAUGCCGCGGGGCCUCAGCGUGUGGAGCUGCUCGGGAGGUCGAACCCGAAGGUACCUAGUGUGGCGCCAUGGCGCCAUCGAGGACGUCGGGAGAAACUGAGGCGCAGGGAGAAGGUUGGGCUUCCUGGAGUACAGAGCGAGGCGCCACUAACUGAGCGCCUACUGCGUGUUGCGCGCUUUGGUGCCCUGGGUUCAUUGACUUAAUGCUCACGAAGACCCGAGAAGUGAGUGCCGCUGUUAUCUGGCUCGCAGAUCUGACCCCAGGCUCCGCAUCCCGGGGUCACAUCCGGUGGGGGAUGCACCGUCUCUGACAGAGGUGGUUCAGCGCCCUUAGCUCAAGCACAUCCGGUGACAGGUAGCUUACUACGUUUGGCUCUGAGACAACUCGGAAGGUUAGCAAAAAUUUCCUCUGAUAGAC